UACGGGGGGGGCAAGCGUUGUUCGGAAUUACUGGGCGUAAAGGGCUCGUAGGCGGCCAACUAAGUCAGACGUGAAAUCCCUCGGCUUAACCGGGGAACUGCAUCCGAUACUGGAUGGCUUGAAUUCGGGAGAGGGAUGCAGAAUUCCAGGUGUAGCGGUGAAAUGCGUAGAUAUGCGGAGGAACACCGAUGGCGAAGGCAAUCCCCUGGACCUGUACUGACGCUCAUGCACGAAAGCGUGGGGAGCAAACAGG
rnacentral:rRNA from 1 species